CCUACGGGAGGCAGCAGUAGGGAAUAUUGCUCAAUGGGGGAAACCCUGAAGCAGCAACGCCGCGUGGAGGAUGAAGGUUUUCGGAUUGUAAACUCCUUUUGUUAGAGAAGAUAAUGACGGUAUCUAACGAAUAAGCACCGGCUAACUCCGUGCCAGCAGCCGCGGUAAUACGGCGGGUGCAAGCGUUACUCGGAAUCACUGGGCGUAAAGAGCUCGUAGGCGGGAUAGAAAGUCAGAUGUGAAAUCCUAUGGCUUAACCAUAGAACUGCAUUUGAAACUGUUAUUCUAGAGUAUGGGAGAGGUAGGUGGAAUGCGUGGUGUAGCGGUAAAAUCCGUAGAGAUCAAGAGGAAUACUCAUUGCGAAGGCGACCUGCUAGAACAUAACUGACGCUAAUGCACGAAAGCGUGGGGAGCGAACAGGAUUAGAUACCCCAGUAGUC
rnacentral:rRNA from 1 species